CGCCCCUUUCGGGGGGAGCGGCGGACGGGUUAGUAACGCGUGGGAACGUGCCUCUCUCUACGGAACAGCCCAGGGAAACUUGGAUUAAUACCGUAUACGCCCCUUGGUGGAGACAUCUUGGGGGAAAGAUUUAUCGGAGAGAGAUCGGCCCGCGUUGGAUUAGGUAGUUGGUGGGGUAAUGGCCUACCAAGCCUACGAUCCAUAGCUGGUUUGAGAGGAUGAUCAGCAACACUGGGACUGAGACACGGCCCAG
rnacentral:rRNA from 1 species